AAAAAUGUAGCUUAAUUGGUAAAGUACUAACCUGUCGAGUUGGGGGUUGGGGGUUCGAGUCCCCUCAUUUGCA
rnacentral:tRNA from 1 species